AUUGAACGCUGGCGGCAGGCCUAACACAUGCAAGUCGAGCGGAGCGGCGGAGGGGUGCGUAAUGCCAAGGAAUCUGCCUGGUAGCGGGGGAUAGCGUCCGGAAACGGGCGCUAAUACCGCAUACUUGCAGUUGAGCCUAGAUCGAAUUAGGUAGUUGGUGGGGUAAAGGCCUACCAAGGCGUCGAUCCGUAACUGGUCUGAGAGGAUGAUCAGCCACACUGGAACUGAGAACCGGUCCAGACUCCUACGGGAGGAAGCAGUGGGGAAUAUUGGACAAUGGGCGAAAGCCUGAUCCAGCCAGGCCGCGUGUGUGAAGAAGGUCUUCGGAUUGUAAAGCACUUUAAGUUGGGAGGCGUUACCAGCAGAAUAAGCACCGGCUAACUUCGUGCCAGCAGCCGCGGUAAUUC
rnacentral:rRNA from 1 species